rnacentral:rRNA from 1 species
UACGAAGGGUGCAAGCGUUACUCGGAAUUACUGGGCGUAAAGCGUGCGUAGGUGGUGAGUUAAGUCUGUCGUGAAAGCCCCGGGCUCAACCUGGGAAUGGCGAUGGAUACUGGCUCGCUAGAGUGCGGUAGAGGAGAGUGGAAUUCCCGGUGUAGCAGUGAAAUGCGUAGAUAUCUGGAGGAACACCGGUGGCGAAGGCGGCAUCCUGGACCGGUAUUGACGCUGAGGAGCGAAAGCCAGGGGAGCAAACGGG